rnacentral:rRNA from 1 species
AUUGAACGCUGGCGGCAUGCCUUACACAUGCAAGUCGAACGGCAGCACGGGUGCUUGCACCUGGUGGCGAGUGGCGAACGGGUGAGUAAUACAUCGGAACAUGUCCUGUAGUGGGGGAUAGCCCGGCGAAAGCCGGAUUAAUACCGCAUACGAUCUACGGAUGAAAGCGGGGGACCUUCGGGCCUCGCGCUAUCGGGUUGGCCGAUGGCUGAUUAGCUAGUUGGUGGGGUAAAGGCCUACCAAGGCGACGAUCAGUAGCUGGUCUGAGAGGACGACCAGCCACACUGGGACUGAGACACGGCCCAGACUCCUACGGGAGGCAGCAGUGGGGAAUUUUGGACAAAGGGCGAAAGCCUGAUCCAGCAAUGCCGCGUGUGUGAAGAAGGCCUUCGGGUUGUAAAGCACUUUUGUCCGGAAAGAAAUCCUUGGCUCUAAUACAGUCGGGGGAUGACGGUACCGGAAGAAUAAGCACCGGCUAACUACGUG